rnacentral:tRNA from 1 species
CAGAAUAUAGCUAGGGAGGAAGCGGCUCUUUUACACUGAGUUAAGGUUUGUGCAACUCAAACUAUUCUGA